rnacentral:rRNA from 1 species
GGCCAGACUCCUACGGGAGGCAGCAGUGGGGAAUAUUGGGCAAUGGACGCAAGUCUGACCCAGCAACGCCGCGUGAAGGAAGAAGGCUUUCGGGUUGUAAACUUCUUUUAAGGGGGAAGAGCAGAAGACGGUACCCCUUGAAUAAGCCACGGCUAACUACGUGCCAGCAGCCGCGGUAAUACGUAGGGGGCAAGCGUUAUCCGGAUUUACUGGGUGUAAAGGGAGUGUAGGUGGCAUAACAAGUCAGAAGUGAAAGCCCGGGGCUCAACCGCGGGACUGCUUUUGAAACUGUUAAGCUUGAGUGCAGGAGAGGUAAGCGGAAUUCCUAGUGUAGCGGUGAAAUGCGUAGAUAUUAGGAGGAACACCAGUGGCGAAGGCGGCUUACUGGACUGUAACUGACACUGAGGCUCGAAAGCGUGGGGAGCAAGCAGGAUUAGAUACCCCUGUAC